rnacentral:rRNA from 1 species
UCCUAGCCUUUUAAUUGGAGGCCUGCAUGAAUGGCUUGACGAGCGCCCUGCUGUCUCUCUUCCCAUGAACUUUUAAAUUAACUUUCGCGUGCAAAGGCGCGAAUGGCUGAGUUAGACGAAAAGACCCUAUGCAUCUUUACUGAGAGAGAAGAAAGUUCUUUAGCUUGGUUUAGCUGGGGCAGCUGAGGAAAAGGCAAAAUUUCCUUAAUAUAAAUCAUACUGGUGGGUUUAGAUCCAGGUUCUUUAGCGGGCUUGACAAGUAGAAAAGUUACGCUAGGGAUAACAGCGUUAUCCUUCUGUGGAGGUCUUAUCUGCAGGAGGGAUUGCGACCUCGAUGUUGAAUUAGGGAUAUACCAGAAAGGCGCAGAAGCUUUUAUUGUGGGUC